CAAGCAGCAGUUGUUUUUUACUUGUAACCGCUCGGAGUUUCCCGCGAAUGCAAGAGGAACCCGGCAUCUCGAGCAGAAUGAUUGGUUAUCAAGCCGCCAGAAACAGCGCUAGAGUGAAGGAAGCUGUUAAAAGAUGCAGCGCCGGGAGUCUUUUAAAGCCUGGUUCUUCUGGUGACUUGGCAGAGCUCAACCACGGAAGUCAGAGCGCUAUGGGCCGAAGACGGCCGAUAAAGUUUCCAAAGUUGGUUCAGGAGAUACACUGGAUUAGGUGGGAUGCCAAAUCACUCCUGGCGACUGGUGAGAUGAGUUUCAAUGUUCAGAUGGCAAAGGGAACGUGUGUAGAUAUGGGUUGAUCAUUUGUCUUCUGGCUUAAAGAGAUUAAAAUGACAUUUCUGUCAUCAUUCAAGUUGUUCCAACCCUGUAUGAGUUUCUUUCUUCUAUGGAACACAAAAGAAGAUAUUUCAAAGAAUGUUGGUAACCAAAUGUUGUCUAGUCUCCACUGACUUCCAUAGUAUGGAAAAAGUCAAAGGCCACCAGUAACUGUUUUGGUAGCAACAAAUUCAUAAGGGGUUGGAACAAUAUGAGGAUGAAUAAAAGAUGACAGAAUUUUCAUUUUUUAUUUCCUUUAAAGGUUAAAAGGACCACCAGUAACUGUUUUGGUAGCAACAAAUUACAUAAGGGGUUGGAACAAUAUGAGGAUGAAUAAAAGAUGACAGAAUUUUCAUUUUUUAUUCCUUUAAAGGUGCAUUCAAUCUUUUUCCCCUUUAAACAAACGGAAGUAUUUCUAAACCAAUAGUACUAGUGAUUUUAAAAGUCAUCUCAGUAGCCCAAUAAAAGCCGUUUUAUUUUAGACAGAGUGAGUCGUCUCAUGGAGGCCACCAUUUUAAGACAUUUUUUAGCUGAAAACUACUAAUUUUAACCAUCAUAUCAUUGUAAACUUUUGCUUGCUGAAUAUAUUAGUCACAGUGUGAAAAUUAGCCUGUCUACAAUGUUGUUGGUAACUAAAUGCUUUAGGUUUUUCGGCAUGCUGCAUCCACACCACUAGAUGUCAGUAUGUCAUGUUCAACCUUGCAACCAGCAAUAUAUAUAUACCAAAAAAUUACUGAACGCACCUUCAAAGUAUUUGCUUUUUCCUCAUCUUUUGAAUAUACUUUUAAGAUAAUAGUUUUUAGAAUGGAUCUUUUUCAGUAUUUAUUGAAUAACAUCAGUUCUCUUUUGUUGUUUCCUUUUCUUGCUUUCUCUGUCUGUCUGUCUGUUUUGAUUUCACUUGGAUUAAGGCCAGAUGUGCUUUCUAAGACUUCUGGAUACU
rnacentral:lncRNA from 1 species